CCUCGGGCCUUUUCUUGAAGAAUGUUGAAAGAAACCCCUCCCCUCACCAUUUAGAGGGUAGGGCACACACCCCUUUAUUUUGACUGUAUCUGGGGCUGUAUCUUCCCUCAAGGGCCUCCGCCGCCACCAGUAAAGGUCAGAAGGAGAAGGACCCGGGACGGGGUGUACCUGCUUCAUGGAGCAUCAGAGAGGUGCUGCAUCAAGGGCUCACAGGUCUAUGAGUCUGAUAGAAACGGCGAUUGACCUUUUCCACACAAGGAGAAGCAGCAACGGACAGGGCCUUGGCUGACUGGCUCCCUGCACCAUGGGGUGAGGCACAGGAAAACACCAAAGAAGGACCCAGCU
rnacentral:lncRNA from 1 species